UACGUAGGGGGCUAGCGUUAUCCGGAUUUACUGGGCGUAAAGGGUGCGUAGGUGGUUUCUUAAGUCAGGAGUGAAAGGCUACGGCUCAACCGUAGUAAGCUCUUGAAACUGGGAAACUUGAGUGCAGGAGAGGAAAGUGGAAUUCCUAGUGUAGCGGUGAAAUGCGUAGAUAUUAGGAGGAACACCAGUAGCGAAGGCGGCUUUCUGGACUGUAACUGACACUGAGGCACGAAAGCGUGGGGAGCAAACA
rnacentral:rRNA from 1 species